rnacentral:rRNA from 1 species
GACGUAGGGGGCCAGCGUUGCUCGGAAUCACUGGGCGUAAAGGGCGCGUAGGCGGCGUUUUAAGUCGGGGGUGAAAGCCUGUGGCUCAACCACAGAAUGGCCUUCGAUACUGGGACGCUUGAGUAUGGUAGAGGUUGGUGGAACUGCGAGUGUAGAGGUGAAAUUCGUAGAUAUUCGCAAGAACACCGGUGGCGAAGGCGGCCAACUGGACCAUUACUGACGCUGAGGCGCGAAAGCGUGGGGAGCAAACAGG